rnacentral:sRNA from 1 species
AGAAAGAGGCCGUCCCCUCUCUCCCUCAUCACUCUAUGCAAUGCCUCCCAAAGGCACAGGACUGUUUUUCCAUCAAGGGUAUAUGAGUAGUUACGUUCCCUUGUUAGAACCUCCAAACAAGCUCUCUCAAUGAGUAAUUGGUUGUGUGAACUCUAUCAUCCUGAAUCUACGGCAGAUUCUCACCUGGGUAAAGGGCUGCUUUGG